UUUAACACGAAGUGAGUGGCGGACGGGUGAGUAACACGUGGGUAACCUGCCCAGAAGCAGGGGAUAACACCUGGAAACAGAUGCUAAUACCGUAUAACAGAGAAAACCGCCUGGUUUUCUUUUAAAAGAUGGCUCUGCUAUCACUUCUGGAUGGACCCGCGGCGCAUUAGCUAGUUGGUGAGGUAACGGCUCACCAAGGCGAUGAUGCGUAGCCGACCUGAGAGGGUAAUCGGCCACAUUGGGACUGAGACACGGCCCAGACUCCUACGGGAGGCAGCAGUAGGGAAUCUUCCACAAUGGACCAA
rnacentral:rRNA from 1 species